UGGCAUUGUUUAAUUGAUACUGUUGGCAGGUGAGGUCAUAAAGCAAUGUUGUCAUGAGUGGUGGAUGACUGUAUAAUUCAGUGGCAUUAUAAAGUGAAAGCCAAGCACAGAGACAGUAAUAUUUCCACAUAUUGAUGAGAAGAGACAUCCCCCUCGUGUUCUGGAACUCCUUAAUAGAGGAUUGUUCUAUCUUACAAGGGGAAAGAGACUUAGAAGCAGCAGAGACAAAGUGAGAGUUCAAGCCUUGUUCUUAUGUCUGAUAUAACAACACUACAGGUGGAGCAAGUAAUCGAGGAUAAAGUGCAGAGGAAUUGAUUCAGGAAGCUCUUGUUGUGUGGUGCACCAAGAGACGAACCUGCGCCAUUUUGAAAGGAAUACUUAAGGGAAAUAAAAAUGAGGAAGAAUGACAACUUUCAAAAACUUUUAACAAUGGUGAUCUCACGAUAAGGAAGGAAAUUGAAGAGACGUAGUUCACUCCGUCUGCAGCCUGUGGCGGUCGAGAGAAACUGGCGGGGGCCAGACUACGCACUCACUCAAAAUGGCGCGAAGGCCGCACAUGCGUGGUCCUGCUGGGUACUGCUACUGCAAAAAUCUCCAUUCUACGGUGCUGGGGCAAGCCCAGCACCUACAGUGGAGCACCCACAGGGACAUCACUCUAAGAAGAAUGUAUGUUACACAUUACAGUUUAAACUAACAAGAGCAUAAUAAACACAGU